CCCCUUUAUCUUUCUAAUCCUCUCUGUGUAUGCAACUAAAUAGACGGGAGUUCUUUUUCGCGCAUGUGCGGAUGUAUAUUUGAUUGAUAGUGUUGAAUGAUUCGAUCAUACUGUUUCAAUCUUUGUAAGUUUUUGAUGGGAGAAUAGGAGCCAGAAGGAAAAAUCAAGGUUUUGAUGAAAUUAGAGUGAUCCAGGGUUGAUCGAAAUUUAACUUUUGGGUUCUUUUGAUACAAAAAUUAUAUAAAUGAUAAUUAAUUAUAAUUAAAUAUUCUAUUUCUUGUAAUGAUGAAAUAUUAAAUUGCAAUAAAAAAUUCAAAUUCUUUUUUUUUUUAAAUUAUUUUUCCAUUUGAAUAGAAAUGUCGAUCUCCUGAGGAGUGGAAGGUAUUCCAAGCCACUCAUAACGGGUCUUCGGGUUCCAUAGGGCCUCAACCUAAGCCGAGAAGAUUCGAGUCGAAGCCCCAACUGGAUAGGACCAUUCCAAAUCAAGUCCAGCAAGAGGCUCAGGGAGCACAGCAAAGCCCCGAAACCCUUUCACAAGCUGGAAUGUCAUAAGGUAUGGGCUUUGUACCAGUCAUGGAACACCUGUGCCCGACCCAAAUGUGGUAUCAAAGCCUCGUCUCUGAUUCUUCGCCUCAAUGGUGGUAAAAGUUCUCGGAUAUGAUGAACGCCAAAGAUCCGGCUUUGGGUCAGAUUCUCAAUUGGGUCCUGAUCCAAGAUAGAGAAUGUGAAAUAAUUUUAGCCCAUGACCAAUUGACGGAGGCCGAAAGACACUUACUGGAUGGUUCUAUUUCUUCCACCGAGCCCAACUCACUUACUCAACCCAUAACCCAUUAACCCAUGCCCAUAACCCGACCCGGUUAGCUUUUAACCCCCAAAACCUAACCCUAAAAUAUUACUCACUAAUUUCUCUCCUCUUUUUUUUACAACAGCCGAUCGUCCCCUCUCUCCUUCUUCACUCACCUCUUAGUCUUCCCCUCAUCCUCUAGUUCUUCAAUGGAGCCUUCUCUAGGGUGUUGGGAAUAUCCUCCACCGCCAUUCUUCCCCUUACAUCGUCUUCUUCAUUAGCAUAAAUAUUCCCCUUUUUUUGUCGAUAAUUAUCUAAACACAAUAGCACAAAAAUACCUUGAGUUCGUGAGUUUUCUUCGUGAAAAUCCGUAGUGGUUGGUUUAAUCCUCUUUGUGGCUGGUUUUGAGUGAACUUGUGGUGUUUCUCUUGAUGAGAAAUAGAGCAACCGUGAGUGUCGGGUUACUAGCCUUCUCGUAGCCGUGUAUUUGACCCCUCCGGAUCUUUGGCUCCCUGAGCCUAUAUAUUUAUCUACUGCAUUCUUUCAUUAUUUAACACUUCUGUAAGUAAUUUAUUUGUUGUAAAUCUAGUUGUAUUAUUUAAGGAUUCAAAAUCCAUAAAUUUGUAAUAGUUGAGUUAGGAUUUCUCGUGCUUCCGCUGAAGGGCAAAUACUCAAC